rnacentral:rRNA from 1 species
GACGAACGCUGGCGGCGUGCUUAACACAUGCAAGUCGAACGGAAAGGCCCUGGUUUUGUGGGGUGCUCGAGUGGCGAACGGGUGAGUAACACGUGAGUAACCUGCCCUUGACUUUGGGAUAACUUCAGGAAACUGGGGCUAAUACCGGAUAGGAGCUCCUGCUGCAUGGUGGGGGCUGGAAAGUUUCGGCGGUUGGGGUUGGACUCGCGGCUGAUCAGCUUGUUGGUGGGGUAGUGGCUUACCAAGGCUUGGACGGGUAGCCGGCCUGAGAGGGUGACCGGCCACAUUGGGACUGGGGUAGGGGCCGGACGCCUACGGGAGGCAGCAGUGGGGAAUAGUGCACAAUGGGCGGAAGCCGUAUGCAGCAACGCCGCGUGCGGGAUGACGGCUUUCGGGUUGGAAACCGCUUUCGCCUGUGACGAAGCGUGAGUGACGGUAAUGUGUAAAGAAGCACCGGCUAACUACGUG